CUAUGCAGAAGCCCACCUGUGCCUCCCUCUUACCGCCCCGCGCGCCUCGUGUUCUACAAGAUACCCCAGCGACUAAACCACACAGUCCUCAACAGCAGAGAACCCAAAGCAUCACGCUGUCCAAACUCAAGUCCACACUGUGCUUUGAGCGCCGGUAACCACUGCCAGGGAUUAAUGGAAUGGGACUGGAUUGGAUCGACUACGCCGGUGUUAAGCCGGCGAGACUCCUGUGAGAUGCUUCUGAACCCAGACGACCAUCUGAGCUGCAGUCUGAGAGAACCCUGGGAGGGGGGCCACUGUAUUGUGAGUGGUGGAGCGUGGUGAUGAGGUCAUUCGAAGGCAGGGAGACACUUCCUCCUUGGAGAGAUGCAAUAUUGUUUGGCCAUGGACACACACACACAUAUACACACAAAGAAC
ensembl:lncRNA